GCGUCAGUAGGUUGGUCGUGCCACCGGUACGUACUGGUCUCACUGAUUCCUCCUUCCUGAAGAACCGUAAUGCCAUUAAGUUGGUGUUGCGGGGAAACAGGACUGUUACUUUGAAAAAAUUAGAGUGUUUAAAGCAAGCUAACGCUUGAAUACAUUAGCAUGGAAUAAUGAAAUAGGACGAUCGAUCCUAUUUUGUUGGUUUCUAGGAUUGACGUA
rnacentral:rRNA from 1 species